UACGUAGGGUGCGAGCGUUAAUCGGAAUUACUGGGCGUAAAGCGUGCGCAGGCGGUUCGUUGUGUCGGCGGUGAAAGCCCCGGGCUUAACCUGGGAAUGGCCGUUGAAACUGGCGAACUGGAGUGUGGCAGAGGGGGGUGGAAUUCCGCGUGUAGCAGUGAAAUGCGUAGAUAUGCGGAGGAACACCGAUGGCGAAGGCAAUCCCCUGGGCCUGCACUGACGCUCAUGCACGAAAGCGUGGGGAGCAAACAGG
rnacentral:rRNA from 1 species